UAGCUACUCCCUCCGUUCGGAAUUACUUGUCUCGGAAAUGAAUGUAUCUAGAACUAAAAUACAUCUAGAUACAUCCAUUUCCGCGACAAGUAAUUCCGAAAGGAGGGAGUACUUA
rnacentral:pre_miRNA from 1 species